GCAAAGUCGGCCCGCGGAAUUCAGCUCGGAGGGCAGGCGCGCGCGGCAGGCCGGAGAUGUGAAUGCACUCUCCUGUCGUUUGCGACGUCGGUCAACCGUGUGCACUUUCCGCGGGCAGAGCGCCACGACCGGUUCCGGGGUGGUCAGAAGGCGGCGAGCAAGGUAGGUGGGCGCUUCGGCGUUCACUGUUAUAGGCUCGCCUGUCCUGAUCCGCCGCUGGGACCGAGGAGCCGCCGCCGGCGUAGGCCGCCUGGCUCUCCCGGGAGGUUCGACUGCUAGAGACUGGGCAACCGUGUCUGGCGACCGCUUCCUGGGAUAGACCGGGUGGGCCCGUCGGCACAGGGUCAGUGGCAUGUCGGUCGGCCCUCCACCCGACCCGUCUUGAAACACGGACCAAGGAGUCUAACAUGCGCGCGAGUCGUUGGGCUGUACGAAACCCGAAGGCGAAGUGAAAGCAAGGGCCGUUUUUGACGCGCCUAGGUGGGAUCCCGGGCCCGCGGGCCCUGGGCGCACCACCGGCCCGUCUCGUCCGCGCUGUCGGUGAGGCGGAGCAUGAGCGUGCACGUUGGGACCCGAAAGAUGGUGAACUAUGCCUGAGUAGGACGAAGCCAGAGGAAACUCUGGUGGAGGUCCGUAGCGAUUCUGACGUGCAAAUCGAUCGUCAAACUUGGGUAUAGGGGGCGAAAGACUAAUCGAACCAUCUAGUAGCUGGUUCCCUCCGAAGUUUCCCUCAGG
rnacentral:rRNA from 1 species